rnacentral:lncRNA from 1 species
GAAGAAGAAGAUGGUUGAUCUCGGUUUAGUUCAACUCAUUUCAGGAGUGACAAUGAUGAUCAUAAUGUGGUUGUCUUUAGCUUCUCCAUCAGAGUCCACCCGCGGUAAGCGAACUGCUGGGGUCUCAUCUGGGGGUUAUACAUUCAAAUUUUCCUUUUGCAAUUUCUAAAUACAAAUGUAACUAUAACAUGAUUGUGAUGUAAAUGCAGCACCAAUUCCAAAGUCAGGCAGUUGUUCUGGACUAAGUGGAAGUAUCUCAUGCAUUGGGCGGCAUGGAUAACAACACUACUCUGUCAUGCAUCUUUAAUUUCGCCAUUGGACAACAUUGCUUCACUGCGGUUUGCACACUAAGCUAGCAUGCAAUUCGUCUCUACUAACCAUGCAUUCCAUAGGAGAGCAUCAGCAGCGCUAGUCAUCACCAUAUGUAGCACAAAUUAAUUGGAUCACAAGGCCAAAUGGUUCAUCAUCAACAACCGCGUAAAAAUAACUUCUUUUGCUUCACCAAAUUCAACUUCA